rnacentral:rRNA from 1 species
GAGUACGUGAAACCGUUCAGGGGUAAACCUGAGAAACCCAAAAGAUCGAAUGGGGAGAUUCAUCGUCAGCAUAUUCAAUAUAUAUGCGAGUCAUGAUGUAGAUUAUGUUUAAUGUUUAUCAUUAUACUAAUUUUCACAUACUUGUAUUAUUUUAUUGUUGAAUAUUGUCGUCGUGCACUUCUCCCCUAGUAGGACGUCGCGACCCGUUAAGUAUCGGUUUACGGCCUGAUUGUGUUGCCUUUGAUAGUAAUAUAUUAAAGACCAAUUAGUGUUUCCUAACCGAGUGCUUGGCGGUACUCGUACGGUAUUGAGUCGCAAUUUAUUUUGCGUUUACACCCAUUAUCAGCUAUUAGUUGUAAUGGUGUUCUGUAACUGGCUCUCAAUAUAAUUACCGGUCGGCGACGCUACUGCUUUGGGUACUUUCAGGACCCGUCUUGAAA